AUGAGAUUCACCACCCUGCUGGUUCUGCUGUGCCUGAGCUCGAUGGUGAUGGCCUCUAUUUCGGACUUUCCAGCUGACUCGUUUGGUGAAUCGCCUUCAACCAUAAAAGCUGUGAGAGCUGGUGAGGUGAGGGGAUACAUGACAUUAGGAGGAGGAG